AGCGAACGCUGGCGGCAGGCCUAACACAUGCAAGUCGAACGAAGUCUUCGGACUUAGUGGCCGACGGGUGAGUAACACGUGGGAACGUGCCUUUAGGUUCGGAAUAACUCAGGGAAACUUGUGCUAAUACCGAAUGUGCCCUUCGGGGGAAAGAUUUAUCGCCUUUAGAGCGGCCCGCGUCUGAUUAGCUAGUUGGUGAGGUAAUGGCUCGCCAAGGCGACGAUCAGUAGCUGGUCUGAGAGGAUGACCAGCCACAUUGGGACUGAGACACGGCCCAAACUCCUACGGGAGGCAGCAGUGGGGAAUCUUGCGCAAUGGGCGAAAGCCUGACGCAGCCAUGCCGCGUGGAUGAUGAAGGUCUUAGGAUUGUAAAAUCCUUUCACCGGUGAAGAUAAUGACUGUAGCCGGAGAAGAAGCCCCGGUUAACAUCGUGCCAGCCGCCGCCGUAACAC
rnacentral:rRNA from 1 species